ACCCACACCCCCCAGAGCUAGCCUGGCGUCAGUCUCACUGCGCCCUGUGGGUCGGAGUAGUUCCAGACCGACCCAGAUGCGGGGCGAGGGGGCGAGCGACCUAUCGCUGAUGGGAAAGACGUCCCCAGAUUUCCAGCCAUCCCCAGUGCCCCGCGGUUGCAUAUCCAAACGGCAGAGAAGAAACCAAAGCAUGUUACGCUUGGAGAAAGAAUUUAGGCUUGGGAUUCCCGCCCCGCCUCUUUUGACCACACAGGUAAUCGCUAAAUAAGCUCAUCCUCGCCUGUACAAUGAAAGUGUUCCCUGCGCCUCCCACGCGACCUGGAAGGCGUAUUUGUGUCACCGGGCCUCACACACCACCUCAGGGGGCAGACCGUUUACAGAUGUAAAUGCCAAAUAGGUAUCAAGUUUGGGAGAUCGCUUUGAUGAUCGGGAAGAGUGUUUGCAAACUGCGCCUCUAGUGGGCUCCGGGCACGUUUCCUGCGACUGUUGCAUCACGGGAAAGCUCCUAAUUCCUGCCUGGGCCCAGCACAUUCCUGCCUGGCGGGCCGCUGACCGAGGUCGCCAAUGGUUUGGUCUCCGAUGCGGAGGCAGGGCCUCCUGCUUGGCCAAGGCCCCGCCUCCCACGAAACGCCUGCAGGUCCUGAAGCCCCGCCCACUUCACCCCCAUUACUCGAUGGCCCCGUGGGCGUUUUCACCAGAGACAUCUGAAACGUAACACGCCAACGUCAUUAAUGAGUCACAGGAAAGGAGAAAAGCCGGCUUUCUACUGCAUCAUAGUCGUUUUCAGCGUUGGCCCUGCUAUCUAGCGGCGGAUCCGUUCCUCCCGCGAUCCGGGACUUGUUUGACGAUGUGGCUCCAGGGCUAAUGGAACAGAAGGUGCGAGUGGAAAACGCCCGCCGCUGUUCGGCCGAUUGGCGAUCUAGGAACCGCGGAGAGGCAAACCGGGCUCCAAGAAAUCCAUCCGCCCAGAUCCUCCCAUAAAGAACCUGAGACCUGGAGAAGAGAGGUCACGAAAAGACCGCGUGGCAAACUGGGACUCGGAAGAGACUUUCCCAAACCAACCGUGGCCCCCGCAGCCUCCUGAACUGUAAGCUCCGUCUUCCAAUGGACGCCUGACUCAAACUGACUUUUGUGACUGUAAAAUCCAGGGCUGGAUCUGCUUCAGGUGAGGCAUGAUCCAGGAGCCCAGUGAGGUCACCAGGAUCCGGCUUCUCUCUUCACUUUUCUGCUCCGUGUGCUUGGUGAUGACUCUAACGUCAGCAAACUUUUCCUCUCCCAGUCCCAAAAGGACUUUCAGCAGCUUGGACCGCUUCCUGUGUCUUUGUUCACGCCCCUGAGGGGAAGAAAGAGAAUCUUGUGUUAGCACUCCCAGACAAAACGUGAAAACCAAUAUGAUCAGACCCGCUGACGUCCCAGAGAUAUAACCACAAACGUCCUGGCACAAACUCAAAAACCACACACCACUCCAGGUAACUGGUAUUCAUAGAACUGGUAUUCUCACCUAACUGGUAUUCAUAAAAACAAUGGCACGAGAAAGAAGAGUGAAAUCUACAUUCUUCUCAACACACACUGGAGUGUGAGCUUCGGAAGGGCAAGGGUCACUUUUGUCCCAGCCUCUCCCCAGGGCAGGGCCCUGUGCGUUGGGAGCCACGAUGUCGCGGUAAUGAGCAUCAGGUGACUUGGCAAAAGUCGGAAUCCCAGCUCUGCCACUUACACACGUGAACUCUCAUGCGAAAGGGGAACAAAUUCAGGAUCUGUCUGCAGAGUGCUGGGGGCAUCCAACGAAGGAGUAUCUGUAAAUCAAGGUUCUGCAUAAUAUUUUGAGGGAAGACACAGUUCUGAGGCUCGAAGGAAAACGAAAACCACUUUGCCAACUGAUCUCGGAAGCCUGCCUUCCAGCGCUCACAGCCCAGCAGCCCGGGGAGAUGAUGGUCUGUGUUUCCUAGUCCUUCGGCCUCUUGCAAAUGAUUCCGGCACCAAAGAGAAACCACACCCAGACGCCUGUCUGCAUGCUGCCUGCUGGGGGGACCAGAUGGCUGUCCCCUCCACCAGCCGCCCCCCUGAUGGGAAAAGCUCUCCCUCCGAGUGUGAGACCCAUCACAAAGAAAGGGCUUUCUUCUUUGCCAGGACCUCACCCUCCGCUGCCUCAGAGAGAGCAUCUUCCCUGUGGCCUUUCCUGUUCACGUUCCCCUUAGAAAAUCCAGCGGCCUGGCGGUAAGACGGGGCAUGGUUUUCCCUCUUGGCUAAAUAGUUUCAUGUGCCGUC